AACGCGAAGAACCUUACCUAGGCUUGACAUGCACGCGAAUAUUGCAGAGAUGUAAUAGCCUUUCGGGGCGCGUGCACAGGUGCUGCAUGGCUGUCGUCAGCUCGUGCCGUGAGGUGUUGGGUUAAGUCCCGCAACGAGCGCAACCCUUGUCAUUAGUUACCAGCACGUAAAGGUGGGGACUCUAAUGAGACUGCCUGGGUUAACCAGGAGGAAGGUGAGGAUGACGUCAAGUCCGCAUGGCCCUUAUGUCUAGGGCUACACACGUGCUACAAUGGCAGGUACAAUGGGAAGCGAAACCGCGAGGUGGAGCAAAUCUAAGAAAGCCUGCCCCAGUUCAGAUUGUAGUCUGCAACUCGACUACAUGAAGUUGGAAUUGCUAGUAAUGGCGUGUCAGCAACAACGCCGUGAAUACGUUCCCGGGCCUUGUACACACCGCUCGCGA
rnacentral:rRNA from 1 species